rnacentral:rRNA from 1 species
UUUACGGGGUGCAGCAGGCGCGAAACCUUUACACUGCACGACAGUGCGAUAGGGGGACUCCGAGUGUGAGGGCAUAUAGCCCUCGCUUUUCUGCACCGUAAGGUGGUNCAAGAAUAAGGACUGGGCAAGACCGGUGCCAGCCGCCGCGGUAAUACCGGCAGUCCAAGUGAUGGCCGAUAUUAUUGGGCCUAAAGCGUCCGUAGCUUGCUGUGUAAGUCCAUUGGGAAAUCGACCAGCUCAACUGGUCGGCGUCCGGUGGAAACUACACAGCUUGGGGCCGAGAGACUCAACGGGUACGUCUGGGGUAGGAGUGAAAUCCUGUAAUCCUGGACGGACCACCAAUGGGGAAACCACGUUGAGAGACCGGACCCGACAGUGAGGGACGAAAGCCAGGGUCUCGAACCGGAUUAGAUACCCGGGUAGUCCUGGCUGUAAACAAUGCUCGCUAGGUAUGUCACGCGCCAUGAGCACGUGAUGUGCCGUAGUGAAGACGAUAAGCGAGCCGCCUGGGAAGUACGUCCGCAAGGAUGAAACUUAAAGGAAUUG